rnacentral:lncRNA from 1 species
AGCUCGUUGUAGAGCCGUGGAUUGCUGGACUCUGGGCCGCCCUCACAAAACACUUUAAGUCGCUCAGAGGACAAGAUGGAAUGAGUGACACACUCCCACCGCCAUCAGAUGCCCCCUUGAACACUCCUGUGAAGCCGGAGUUGCUACACAUCCAGUCACAAGUUGAACUUCUGCGAUUAGAGGAUGUGGGAGAGAAGGAUUCUGAGGUGUGGGAGCACAAUGAAGCUAACAGGAGUCAGAGGAGAGAUUUGAUUGAAGACUUUGAGUCCUCGCUCGUCCGCUCAGUUCCCCCACUCUCACACACCUCUCUAAGUAUUCCCACUUUGCCGCCAGAAUAUUUGGAGGUCCAUCUUGAGGAGCCUCUUGGCCAGGAGGAAAGCCAAACAUCUGUGACUUCAGUGGAUCCAGUUUUUCAAGUUCCAAUUUCAAAAGCUGUUCAGCUGACUACAAAUGAUGCCAUAAAGACCACACUGCUGUUGGAAUUGGACAUUUCACUUCGGAGAAGAUGUGAGAACUGAUGCUGACCGUGCAGAGCAUAGCACCUUGAUCAUAAGCCAUGAGAGAACAAUGGGGUCCAGAUGGCCAGCAGAAGGAAGUGCUCACUUAAGACCAGCCAGUGAGGGGAAUUAAAGUUCAGAGUAGAUGGUCAGGAGAGCCCCAGCUUCUCAGAGCAGUACUUCCUAUUCUUUGGAGACUCUGAAAAGUUUUGGGAAGCUCUCCAGAGAGGUGAUAAUAGAGAGCAUUUGCCUGUUGUACCAGGGGGCUGUACGUGGUUAUUUGAACCCUGUCUAUGAAUCCGUCUGCAUCUAUCUGUUCCUCUGAGAUACGCUAUAGUCAUUAAUCAACCUUUAUUUUGAAGAAUGUCCCAAGAAAAUCAGAACACUUCAGGUU